ensembl:lncRNA
GCUAAACAUCCUGAAUGUUUCUGUGAAAGAGUUUCGUUGUUUGUUGUUGUUUUUUGCUGAAGUUAACUUUUAAAUGGGUGGACUUUAAAUAGAUCGCCCCCGCAUGGUGUGGGAAAGCCUCCACCAAUCUGGCGAGGCCUUACUAGAACCAACCCAAUAAAAGCCAGUGUUCCGGCGGCAGCGCUCCUUUGGGUUGCACCUCUUCCUGGAGUCUGCGGUCUGUAGUCCUACUCCGUCAGAUUGGGAUUCACCAAGCCUCCACAAUCAUGAGUUCCUAUCUGGAAAAAAAUUGGAAAUUCUGUAUGUUCAUUUCAAUGCCCUACAUUCCAGGGCCUUAUCUUCCUUGCAUCUAUUGACUUUAUACUACAUGUUAGAAAUGGUCUCUUGCCAAGUGGUUAGGAAAGUGAGGAAGAAAGAAGUGGAAUAAGUCAUCCAGGAUCAUAUUUCUGAUAACGUGUCAAGAAGCUGACAUUUGAACAUGAACUUGAAUUAAGUCUGAGAGCCAGUUAUGCAAAUAUCUGGGGGAAGACCAUCCCAGAUAAAGGAAACAUCAAGGACAAAGAUCUUGAAAUGGAUUGAUAAUUGGCAUGUUUGAUGAACAGCAAGGGGUCCAUUGUAUCUAGGCAUGGGAGAGAAACCAGGACUGAUGGAGUGGUAGUCAGGAGCCAAAACAUUUAGAACUGUUCAGGCAAUAGGAUAGGGUUUGAAUUUGUUUUCUAAAUGUGGAGUGAUUUGGAAUAAAACAAGGAGAUGAUCUGAGUGAAAAAAAAAAAAGCAGUAGUCACUCUGUAUUGUUUUGAAAGGAAACGGGAGGAAGAUUGAUUCAGGGAGACCAGUUAGGACAUGAUUGAUGUAGUUUAGAUGAGAGAUGAUGAUGAUCUUGUAUACCCUUAGAACUUGGAGCCUCUCCUAUC